GCAGCCUACCUCUCUGCUUUAGUUUCUGCCUCGGCUCUCCUCAGUGAUGGACAGCAACCCAUGGCUGCACCCAGUGGCAAAACCCUCAACUCUCCUGGCUCAAAACAAGGAAAGACCUUGGACAGCCCUAACAUCCGGGAAAACGGCAGGGAAGUGACGUCCGCCAGGGGGCGCCCUUGUUCUCACCUGGACUCUGCAGACCUGGAGUGCAGCAGGACAGCAGGUGACCAUGGCUCAGGAGGGCCUUGAUGGGCAGGCGGCGAGUGGGUCACAGAGUCACUAAUGGCCCCGCCGUCCGCCACCUGCCGCCAGCCGCCUGCCGCCGGAUGAGGAAAUGGCCCUG
rnacentral:lncRNA from 1 species